rnacentral:rRNA from 1 species
CCUACGGGGGGCAGCAGUCGAGAAUCAUUCACAAUGGGGGAAACCCUGAUGGUGCGACGCCGCGUGGGGGAAUGAAGGUCUUCGGAUUGUAAACCCCUGUCAUGUGGGAGCAAAUUAAAAAGAUAGUACCACAAUAGGAAGAUACGGCUAACUCUGUGCCAGCAGCCGCGGUAAUACAGAGGUCUCAAGCGUUGUUCGGAAUGACUGGGCGUAAAGCGUGCGUAGGCUGUUUCGUAAGUCGUGUGUGAAAGGCGGGGGCUCAACCCGCGGACGGCACAUGAUACUGCGAGACUAGAGUAAUGGAGGGGGAAGCGGAAUUCUCGGUGUAGCAGUGAAAUGCGUAGAUAUCGAGAGGAACACUCGUGGCGAAGGCGGGUUCCUGGACAUUAACUGACGCUGAGGCACGAAGGCCAGGGGAGCGAAAGGGAUUAGAUACCCUAGUAGUC